UUAAGCAUAUCAAUAAGCGGAGGAAAAGAAACCAACAGGGAUUGCCCUAGUAACGGCGAGUGAAGCGGCAACAGCUCAAAUUUGAAAUCUGGCUCUCGGGCCCGAGUUGUAAUUUGUAGAGGAUGCUUUUGAUGCGGUGCCUUCCGAGUUCCCUGGAACGGGACGCCAUAGAGGGUGAGAGCCCCGUCUGGUUGGAUGCCAAAUCUCUGUAAAGCUCCUUCAACGAGUCGAGUAGUUUGGGAAUGCUGCUCUAAAUGGGAGGUAUAUGUCUUCUAAAGCUAAAUACCGGCCAGAGACCGAUAGCGCACAAGUAGAGUGAUCGAAAGAUGAAAAGCACUUUGAAAAGAGAGUUAAAAAGUACGUGAAAUUGUUGAAAGGGAAGCGUUUAUGACCAGACUUGGGCUUGGUUAAUCAUCUGGGGUUCUCCCCAGUGCACUUUUCCAGUCCAGGCCAGCAUCAGUUUUCCCCGGGGGAUAAAGGCGUCGGGAAUGUGGCUCUCUUCGGGGAGUGUUAUAGCCCGUCGUGUAAUACCCUGGGGGGGACUGAGGUUCGCGCAUCUGCAAGGAUGCUGGCGUAAUGGUCAUCAACGACCCG
rnacentral:rRNA from 1 species